GAGGAAUAUUGGUCAAUGGGCGAGAGCCUGAACCAGCCAUCCCGCGUGCAGGAAGACGGCCCUAUGGGUUGUAAACUGCUUUUGCGCAUGAAGAAUGUUACCGACGUGUCGGUAAGUGACGGUAAUGCGUGAAUAAGCAUCGGCUAACUCCGUGCCAGCAGCCGCGGUAAUACGGAGGAUGCAAGCGUUAUCCGGAUUUAUUGGGUUUAAAGGGUGCGUAGGCGGCCUUGUAAGUCAGUGGUGAAAACCUGCAGCUCAACUGUAGGCGUGCCAAUGAAACUGUGAGGCUUGAGUGACGUUGAGGCAGGCGGAAUGUGUAGUGUAGCGGUGAAAUGCUUAGAUAUUACACAGAACACCGAUUGCGUAGGCAGCUUGCUAAAGGUUAACUGACGCUGAUGCACGAAAGCGUGGGGAUCGAAC
rnacentral:rRNA from 1 species